rnacentral:rRNA from 1 species
CGGGUGAGUAACACGUGGAUAACCUACCUAUAAGACUGGGAUAACUUCGGGAAACCGGAGCUAAUACCGGAUAAUAUAUUGAACCGCAUGGUUCAAUAGUGAAAGACGAUUUUGCUGUCACUUAUAGAUGGAUCCGCGCCGCAUUAGCUAGUUGGUAAGGUAACGGCUUACCAAGGCAACGAUGCGUAGCCGACCUGAGAGGGUGAUCGGCCACACUGGAACUGAGACACGGUCCAG